GGCGGACGUAGCCAAGUGGACCAAGGCAGUGGAUUUGAAUCCACCAUGCGCG
rnacentral:tRNA from 2 species